UGUUCUCACUUUGACAACACAUAUGUUAAAAUGGAACAAUAUAGAGAUUAGCAUGGCCCCUGCACAAGGGUGACAUGCAAAUUCAGGAAGCAUUCCAUAACUUU